rnacentral:rRNA from 1 species
GUUAGGAAUAUUGGACAAUGGGCGCAAGCCUGAUCCAGCCAUGCCGCGUGAGUGAUGAAGGCCUUCGGGUUGUAAAGCUCUUUAGCCGAUGAUUAUAAUGACUGUAGUCGGAAAAUAAGCCCCGGCUAACUUCGUGCCAGCAGCCGCGGUAAUACGAAGGGGGCGAGCGUUAUUCCGAAUCACUGGGCGUAAAGCGUGCGUAGGCGGCUUUGCAAGUUGGGAGUGAAAGCCCAGGGCUCAACCCUGGAAUUGCUCUCAAAACUGCAAGGCUCGAAUUCGGGAGAGGAUAGCGGAAUUGUCAGUGUAGCAGUGAAAUGCGUAGAUAUUGACAGGAACACCAGUGGCGUAAGCGGCUAUCUGGACCGAUAUUGACGCUGAGGCACGAAAGCGUGGGGAUCAAACAGGAUUAGAUACCCCAGUAGUCC